GCUAGGGUGGCAGAAAGUGCGGUAGGUUGUAGCCCUAAUAAUACGAUUAAGGUCGUUCCUGGUA
rnacentral:tRNA from 1 species